CCUGCGGAGGGAUCAUUACCGAGUUUACAACUCCCAAACCCCUGUGAACAUACCUUAAUGUUGCCUCGGCGGAUCAGCCCGCGCCCCGUAAAACGGGACGGCCCGCCAGAGGACCCAAACUCUAAUGUUUCUUAUUGUAACUUCUGAGUAAAACAAACAAAUAAAUCAAAACUUUCAACAACGGAUCUCUUGGUUCUGGCAUCGAUGAAGAACGCAGCAAAAUGCGAUAAGUAAUGUGAAUUGCAGAAUUCAGUGAAUCAUCGAAUCUUUGAACGCACAUUGCGCCCGCUGGUAUUCCGGCGGGCAUGCCUGUUCGAGCGUCAUUUCAACCCUCAAGCCCCCGGGUUUGGUGUUGGGGAUCGGCUCUGCCCUUCUGGGCGGUGCCGCCCCCGAAAUACAUUGGCGGUCUCGCUGCAGCCUCCAUUGCGUAGUAGCUAACACCUCGCAACUGGAACGCGGCGCGGCCAUGCCGUAAAACCCCAACUUCUGAAUGUUGACCUCGGAUCAGGUAGGAAUACCCGCUGAACUUAAGCAUAUCAAAGGCCCGAAGGAA
rnacentral:rRNA from 1 species